AUGGCACUUCAAUCUUUCAGUGACUUUUUUUCUUCCCCUAUCCAUCAGGAAGUGAAACCACGUGUCCACAGAAUGUAAAUAACAGCUGUUUCCACUCAAUUUGCAUUUAGAUACUUAGCACUUAAAAAUAGAUUAUUUCUGGAAGCUUUGACAAUCUAGUCAAAAUUCCUACUUAGAGGUACUAGUGAGAUCCCUUUGGACUGGCUGAUUGAAGAGGUGAAGCAACAACAAUGAAAUUCCCCAAAUGACUGAUCAAUUAGGGUUCCAAGUUAUCCUUCAACAAUCGGCUGAAGCUUAUCUUUUAAUCUCCCUGGGCAUUUUCAAGAUCAGUUCCUUGGGCUGCACUAAGGCAGCAAAAGUAUGCCAGGAGUCUCAACGGGGGCAUCUGUGAACUGGGCUGGAGAAUCCUCACGUCACAGAUUGUUUAAAGAACAGUAAUUAUGCAUGUGAGUUGCUGGCUUUGUGUGUCUGUAUAAGCCUGUGCUAGACUCAUUCACACUUGGUACUCAGAACAGAUGAAGGCAAUCUAAGCUCAGAUAUCUGAAUCUCAUCUUCAUCCUCCCUUCAACCGAGAAGGAAAAUGUACCUCCAGAGAACAAUUGUGUGACACAGUCUAUACAAUAAAAUGUUAAAAUAAGAUC